UACAGAGGUCUCAAGCGUUGUUCGGAUUCAUUGGGCGUAAAGGGUGCGUAGGUGGCGCGCUAAGUCAGGUGUGAAAUUUCGGAGCUUAACUCCGAAACUGCAUUUGAUACUGGUGUGCUUUGAGGACUGGAGAGGAGACUGGAAUUCAUGGUGUAGCAGUGAAAUGCGUAGAGAUCAUGAGGAAGACCAGUGGCGAAGGCGGGUCUCUGGACAGUUCCUGACACUGAGGCACGAAGGCCAGGGGAGCAAACGGGG
rnacentral:rRNA from 1 species